rnacentral:lncRNA from 1 species
GUCUAUGUAAUGAGUUAUUACAUGAUGUUAUGGAUGGAAGGUCUGUAUAAUGAGUUAUUACAUGAUGUUAUGGAUGGAAGGUCUGUGUAAUGAGUUAUUACAUGAUGUUAAAGGAUGGAAGGUCUGUGUAAUGAGUUAUUACAUGAUGUUAUGGAUGGAAGGUCUGUGUAAUGAGUUAUUACAUGAUGUUAUGGAUGGAAGGUCUGUGUAAUGUUAUUAUGAAAGAGCACAUGACACAACCCCUGAAAAUAAAAUGUCUAAAAUGUGCUUUAGAAUCCUCAUGGAUUGAUCACCGUAAGAGACAGUUUGCAGCAGCCCCUUUCCCCGUCCUAUCUGCAGCCGCACAGGUUGGGAAUGAGACAGAGAGAGUCACACACAGCCUAGAGAAACCAUUAACCUGGUGAGUCAUCAAACGCUGUGAGCGUCCUCCAGUUCUAUUUCUAGGAGCACCGUUCAUACCCUCCGUCCCUCUCCCUCGCGUCUCUUUCUCCCGCCAGCCUCUUCAAGCUGCUAGAAAUAACAAGGUCAUGUCUCUACUUCCC